ACCAGUGUGAUGUAGUGGUAUGAGUGUUGGACUAGGGCUCUGGAGACCAGGGUUCAAAUCCCUGCUCAGCCA
rnacentral:tRNA from 1 species